GACCUCGGAUCAGGUACGGA
rnacentral:rRNA from 1 species